rnacentral:rRNA from 1 species
CCUACGGGAGGCAGCAGUGGGGAAUAUUGCACAAUGGGCGCAAGCCUGAUGCAGCGACGCCGCGUGAGGGAUGACAGGCCUUCGGGUUGUAAACCUCUGUUCAGUAGGGAAGAAGCGUAAGUGACGGUACCUGCAGAAGAUUAGCGCCGGCUAACUACGUGCCAGCAGCCGCGAUAAU